UCCAGCCGCUGGCGGCGUGCCUAAUACAUGCAAGUCGAGCGCGGGAAGCGAGCGGAUCCCUUCGGGGUGAAGCUCGUGGAACGAGCGGCGGACGGGUGAGUAACACGUGGGCAACCUGCCUGUAAGAUCGGAAUAACCCCGGGAAACCGGGGCUAAUGCCGGGUAAUACUUUUCUUCGCAUGAAGAUGAGUUGAAAGAUGGCUUCUCGCUAUCACUUACAGAUGGGCCCGCGGCGCAUUAGCUAGUUGGUGAGGUAACGGCUCACCAAGGCAACGAUGCGUAGCCGACCUGAGAGGGUGAUCGGCCACACUGGGACUGAGACACGGCCCAGACUCCUACGGGAGGCAGCAGUAGGGAAUCUUCCGCAAUGGACGAAAGUCUGACGGAGCAACGCCGCGUGAACGAUGAAGGUCUUCGGAUCGUAAAGUUCUGUUGUCAGGGAAGAACAAGUACCGUGCGAAUAGAGCGGUACCUUGACGGUACCUGACGAGGAAGCCCCGGCUAACUACGUGCCAGCAGCCGCGGUAAUA
rnacentral:rRNA from 1 species